GGGAAAGCCCUGACGGCGCGGGAUGGGGUCGCGGCCCAUUAGGUAGACGGCGGGGUAACGGCCCACCGUGCCCGCGAUGGGUAGCCGGACUGAGAGGUCGACCGGCCACAUUGGGACUGAGAUACGGCCCAGACUCCUACGGGAGGCAGCAGUGGGGAAUUUUGCGCAAUGGGGGCAACCCUGACGCAGCAACGCCGCGUGCGGGACGAAGGCCUUCGGGUUGUAAACCGCUUUCAGCAGGGAAGACAUAGACGGUACCUGCAGAAGAAGCUCCGGCUAACUACGUGCCAGCAGCCGCGGUAAUACGUAGGGGGCGAGCGUUAUCCGGAUUCAUUGGGCGUAAAGCGCGCGUAGGCGGCCGCCUAAGCCGGACCUCUAAUCCCGGGGCUCAACCUCGGGCCGGGUUCCGGACUGGGCGGCUCGAGUGCGGUAGAGGCAGGCGGAAUUCCCGGUGUAGCGGUGGAAUGCGCAGAUAUCGGGAAGAACACCGAUGGCGAAGGCAGCCUGCUGGGCCGCCACUGACGCUGAGGCGCGAAAGCUGGGGGAGCGAACAGGAUUAGAUACCCUGGUAGUCCCAGCCGUAAAC
rnacentral:rRNA from 1 species